CACCGGUAGUGGAAUCCUAAUAGUGUUAUUAUUUUUUUCAUAUUCCCACUUUUCACUACCGAUCUAGGAUUCACCGGUAGUGGAAUCCUAAUAGUGUUAUUAUAUUUUUCAUAUUGUCAUUUUCAUUCCCAAUUUUCAUACGCGUUCAAUCUCCCUCCCACUGCAAACUCUCCAUUCUCAAUCGUCCCAAGUUCUUCCAAAUCGUCCCAAGUUCUUCAAAUCAAACACUCCAAUUUCCCAAUCAUUCUCCAAUCUCUCCAUUCUCCAUUCUCCAUUCUCCAAUCUCUCCAAUUUCAUUCGGUUUCAUUCUCCAAACCCUAGAAUGCUUGAAUCGCCUCCAAAUUUCUUCGUUUUUAUUCGGUAAAGGGGUUGCUGUGUUAGGCGGUGAUUGCUGCUCCUGCGUUAGGCGGUGAUUGCUGCUCCUGCGUGUUGCUUGUGCUGUGCAGGGGCUGGUGUUGCUCUUUUUUGGUGUUGUCAUCUUUGUUUGAAGUUAGAAGGUUCAAUCACGGUCUCAUCUACAGG